GUGGGGAAUUUUGGACAAUGGGCGAAAGCCUGAUCCAGCCAUGCCGCGUGCAGGAUGAAGGCCUUCGGGUUGUAAACUGCUUUUGUACGGAACGAAACGGUCCGGGUUAAUACCCUGGGCUAAUGACGGUACCGUAAGAAUAAGCACCGGCUAACUACGUGCCAGCAGCCGCGGUAAUACGUAGGGUGCAAGCGUUAAUCGGAAUUACUGGGCGUAAAGCGUGCGCAGGCGGUUAUAUAAGACAGAUGUGAAAUCCCCGGGCUCAAACUGGGAACUGCAUUUGUGACUGUAUAGCUAGAGUACGGUAGAGGGGGAUGGAAUUCCGCGUGUAGCAGUGAAAUGCGUAGAUAUGCGGAGGAACACCGAUGGCGAAGGCAAUCCCCUGGACCUGUACUGACGCUCAUGCACGAAAGCGUGGGGAGCAAACAGGAUUAGAUACCCGAGUAGUCC
rnacentral:rRNA from 1 species